UCCAACUUCAAGGUGUCAUUAUGCAACACAUCCUGAAAAAAAUUCCAGUUAUGAAAAAAGUGCACCAAGAUCCAGUUGGGUGCAAGAGUUCCAACAUCACUUCACGUUCCAGAGCAACUUUUGCCUUGUGUAAUUUUUUGACUGCCACUGAAUUACCCUGGCUUAAGAAGAAAGCAGUACAAAAUCUAUAGUGGCUGGAGAAUAUGGUUGAAAAG